rnacentral:rRNA from 1 species
UACAGAGGUCCCGAGCGUUGUUCGGAUUUACUGGGCGUAAAGCGUGCGCAGGCGGCUUCUCAAGUCAGGGGUGAAAGCCCAGAGCUUAACUCUGGAAUUGCCUUUGAGACUGAGAGGCUUGAGUACGGGAGAGGUGAGUGGAAUUCCCAGUGUAGAGGUGAAAUUCGUAGAUAUUGGGAAGAACACCGGUGGCGAAGGCGGCUCACUGGCCCGUAACUGACGCUCAUGCACGACAGCGUGGGGAUCAAACAGG